CACUCUCCAUCUGCUGUUUUAGCUCCUGUCACUACAACUCCUACAUCUAUCCCCGUUUUCCGUCUCGUGUUUGAACUGCUGCUUUAUCUGCUGCUCCUAUUUCAACUCCAGCUUCCAUCUCCAUCUCCCAAACCUUCCUCCUCCAGCUCUUCCUCUCUUCUAGUUUGUUGCACUUGCAAAUGCAGUGGAGGCAUCAAGUUAUUUCGUUGAAUUUAAGCCCGGACUUGCGCCAUUUGGCUUUUAGUUGCACUUGUUUGGCCAAGCACCACUGCCUCCACCUUUCCCCCACCUCUUCUCCUGCUGCGGCCUCGAGUUGUGUGGCACGCCUAGUUAGGUUUGGUUUGGCAUCGCAUAUCCCGCACAAAUGCGCGUUGCAUGCACCAUUCGUUAUUUUAUGCCACUUUUAAAGUAAACAAUUUGAGCUUAUUUUUAUUUUCAUUUUCGUUUUCAUUUUAUUUGGUGUGUGUUUUCUCUUCUCGUUCGGUUUUCUGUCUGAUUCCAAAAAUAAUACGUUGAAAUUGUCGCCUUUGCUAUUUUUCUUUCGCUUUGAUUUUGUUUGCGUUUUAAGCCAAAUGAUUUGUUGCUCAACUUAGUACAAGUUGACAAAAAAACAAAAAGGAAAAGGAAAAAAAACGAGAAAAAAAUCAACAAACGCAGCUGCUGCAAAGGCAACAAUAAGCUCAACAAACGUAGAGCAAGGAACGAGGAGGGAAGAGCACAAAAUGCUGCAUGGCAGUCGACAAGAGGAAGAGGAAACAAAAACAUUGUCGUAAAACAAACAAACAAAAGCAGCAGCAGCAGCAGCAGCAUAGCAAAAGACGCAGUUUUGUGUAACGUUCAAAACGAUUUUGAAGUUCACUCUGGGCCGUGGUGUUCGACUAAUCGAAUGGGUGUUAAAUUUAAAAGCAGUUUCAUUGAAAGCCAACUACACACAUUUCAUGUGCAUAAAAUAGAGAAUAGAAGAAUGGCUAUAAAGCGAUUGCUUUCCUUUCAUUCAUUGAUUGUUCUCCACUGUUACUUUAUCCACUGUGCAGCAAGUAUUCUAGUUUUCUGAUGCAGAUUUAUUAGCAUCCAUAAAGUGUGUGGUACCAUAAUUUUUUGCAGCUGAAUGAUAAACAAAGCCACUAAACUUAUUUUUCUCCAUAUAUUUGUUGGCUUAUUUUUUUGAGCUCUUCAACUCGUGCUCUUUUCGUAGUUUGUUUAUGCAUUUUAUUGAGGUCAUGUGACUCACAUAAAACUCUACAAAAACCUAAGUACCGAAUUUAUGAGGCAGUUAAAUAAUAUUUGGGAAAUGUCAAAUAUACGAGCAAACAAAAUAUGAGUAUAAAUAUUUUUGCAGUCUUUUGACAACAAAAAUUUGACAAAUAUUUUUCAAAUUUUCUACUGAAAAAGCCAUUGCAGUCCAGUUGUCCAGUUGGUGUAAAUUAUGAGUUUCCACAGCAUUUGGGACACUGUAUUAACAUGCCACAUUCGAUUUCCUUCUCACAUAUAUUUUACUAUUUUCAAUGGCACGUACGAAUUUUCUUCCAUUUCCUGUUAGCUAUUCUCCUAUUUCGCCCCCAUGGAAACCUUCAGCACAUAUUGUUGCCAGCAUUAUUUUCUUUUUAUUUUCAUUUCGCAUAAAGCGAUUUAUCGACGUGCGAGGGAGAGUAGGAAACAAUAGCAAAACAAAACGAGUAAAUAUACAACAUAAGAAAUCGAACUUUGGCACGUCGAAUACUAAAUAUCCUUGACAGCUCAAGAUUUUAAAAAUAUCAUAGAAAAUGUCAAUCGAUAAAAGGUUUUCAGCACCCAAGACUACCGAAAAUAGACAAGCGUAGCGAAAGGAUUAAGCUGCUGAGGCUAUAACUAAGAAAUAUUAUUAUCAAUUUAAAAAACUCUAUAUGGUUUUACUCCUCAAGAAAAUUAUAAUACUCUAAGCUGAGGGUAUAGAAAUACCAACAAAUAUUUAUACGCGAAUCUCAAAAUAAAAGCCAUGUAAUUUGACGCUGCUUUUGGCUGGGAAACUGGCUCUUGGCUCUGAAGACUGAAUGGCUGGCUGUCUGGGUGGUUGGCCAACAUUUGUCAUUGUUGAAUUUGGUCGGGAACGACUUUAUAUGGCUGAACGCCAACGACUUUAUGUCUAUAUCUCAAUGCAUAACGCACAAAAAAACGAAAAAACGAACGAGCGAAACAACAACGACUGCUGAAGGGAAUGGGACACAAAACAAAGGCAGUAAAUGCGCAUACUUUUUUAUACGAAGCUAAACAAAAAAUCAACUGAUGAGCUACGCGAGCUCAUACACACAAUGGGCAUGAAUGGAGGCAGAAGUAGAAAGAGGAACAGAAGAUGAAGGAGGAAAUAUGUGUGUGAAUUGUGCACUCAGCUGCAAUGGGCGAAUGCGCGUUGUAUUUGUUUUGUAGUUUUAGCCUGUUUAAAUAAAAGCUAAAAACAAAAGGAAAAAA